UUAAAAAUAAAUUUUAAUUAUGACAUGCAUUUUAACAUUUAUAUAAAUAUAAAUCAUAGCCUAAAUAUAAAUAAUUUAACAACUUCAAUUAGAAAAAAAUAAAAAUCCCGGGCGUAGCCCGGGUUAAUCCCUAGUCACAAUACUAAAAGCACAAUAAGCUCAAAAUCUAAGGUGUCCACCUCAGCAGAUUUAAUCAACCAAUAACAUGUUUCUAAAUUGUCAUGUCAUUUUUUUAACAAAAAAAAAACAAACCGUGAACAUUAAUUUUACUAAACUGUAGCCAACAAUCCUUCCUCCUUAGAUGUCCACUUUGCUGGAAAAAAAAAACAGAACGUCAGGCGUUUCACUAUAUAAGAGAUAUCCUUAUUUUCUAUCUUCUCCUUUAAUAUAGCGUUUAAGCUUCAUAAUAUAUAAUCACCACUUUUAGAGUAACCUAAAACCAAACGCAUGUCCAUUGAUGAAUCUAUCAAUCGUCAGAUUCCUCUGUAUAUACAAUGGUAAAAUUAUAGAACCUUCUCUCUCUGUUUCUUCUAUUUCUUUUUAUGAUGAAUCACAUGGAGAAAUACACCGUCCCCGGAAUAUGCGAUGUAAUCCAUCUGAAAUUGCAUGAUCACCGAACGUGAGCUUCUUAUUAACAGAACAAGUUGCAGAGUUUAGAGUUUGGCUGGAGAAGACUAAGAUGUCCUUCAGUCAUGGAGAGUGUAGAGGUUUUAAGAGAGAUCCACGGGAGUCAAUCUUCCAGCUACACAUUCUUUCUUCUGUAGAGAAACAACUGCUUAUCAUUCAUUGUUCCUGAUAUUGACCACUCUCUUUUGUUUUUCUUUGUUUAUGGUAUGUGCAGGUUGCAGAGUUUAAAUGCCUCCUCAAGUCCUCAGUAUUAAGCCAACACCAAAGAUUGAAUACUUAUGUGUGCCUGUUAUAAGCCAUGACAGAACUCUAAAGCGUUGAUGCUACAACCGUUUGGUCACAGUGCACCAGCAUUGGAAAGAUCCUAGGUCAAUCUUAAAUACCAUUAUCUAUGUCUUUAUUAAUUGUCUUGAAAAUCUUCUUCUUGUGUUCUGCAUCUAAUUCUCUCUUCAGUUAUCACACUAAAUAUAAGGUCAAACUUUCUUUUGCUAUUUUUUUAUAUUCAGCAGCACUUUUUCAGAUCAAUGAAAACCUUUUUGGUUUGUUUAGGGUCACUGUGGUUCUUGCGGGGAAAUUUGGUUCUGUGGAAUAGUGUCUUACAGGUUCUCAUCAAAUACAACAUGGUAUCACCAAGUUCAGCAAGACAAACAUUGAUGAUUGCUAGCAUCUUUCUCUCUGAAAGAUUAAUAUAGUCUCGGAAACAUCAUUUAGAUCGUGUAUUUACUUUAAGUCUAUGUGGUCGUAUGCCGCAAUCAUUUGUAAGAAGAUGCUGUUGUGGUCGCUUGCUUCCGGAAAGGCUCAGUAGUAGCAUACAGAAUUACCGACAACCCCGACUGGAACAGUACAAACUAUGAAAAUGUCUCCAACUGUUGGGAUUAUUCCAGGAAAGUAAGUCGUCUUCUCAUUUUCCCGCCCUUGUGCUGUUGACUGAUUGGUUCUAAUAUUUCUUUCAGUUGUUACCAUACGUCAUUUGCUUAAUCACCUCAGGAUUGCAUGGUCACGUAGAAAAAGGAAUGUCUUAUAUGAUUCAUGGUGGAAUUUAAGAUCUAUUAAAUUAUGAAUCGUUCAUUUCCAGGUUAUCAUCGACGCAUAUCUAUUUUUUUGUCAUUCAAAUUUAUUCAAAAUGUAUAAUAUUUUCCAACGGGGGCAACUUAAUUCUGCUUUAACAUUUAAAGGAAAGUUUAAAAUUUUAUGGAGGGGGGGGGCAGCUGCCUCCUACUUACCUUAAGUAGAUCCGCCCAUGAUCAAAAGUCAUUUUUUGUAUUGUGGUUGAGGAUUUGGUUUCGGCAACUUUAUCUACCUUAUGUCACAGGUUUUUAGGUGAGCCACUACUAUACUUCAACAUCUAGAAAGUAUGUAGUUCUCAGAUUUGAAGGUCAUGUUUCCCCUACCAAGGUUAGUUUUUCUUCUCGAAUAAUGAAAGAUUCUUCUUUAAAAAUCUACAUCAGCUUAUGGUGUUUCUUUAUAAAAAUAAUUAUGAAUAAGCAUCUAUGAAUAAUAAUACUCUAUACUUAACCUUGGAAAUUAACAAAAGAGAGGAUGGUAUGGAUUAGCUAGAGACAUUAUGUGGCACAAGAUUUGGAAUGAAUUAGUCCAAAAGGAGCUCCAGAAUCAGGAGCAGCAGCUUGAUACUUUUCUUAAAAAAUAUUAUAUAUAUAUACCCUAUAAGCUUAUACACACACUAAUCCAAUUCUAUAUUUGAAUUUGUGCAUGUAUAAAUAUGUGUUUAACCAUUAUAAUUAAUUUGAAUGUCAAUUAUUUAUCUAUAGUGAUUGUCAUGAUGGUACACAGUUUUCCUCAUAUGAUGAAAACAAUUUGAACUCAUUCUAUGCAUAAUCAACUUAUGUAUGGCGCCCUUCCCAACGUCUUUGCGUUCAAACCUUAUGUAAAAAAUAUAUGUAAAAAGAGCGUGUAGAGAUCCCUAAGAAUGAUUUAUUUUUGUGGACAUUACAGGAGAAGAAAGUACAUGGGAAAAAGCACGCUUGCUAAACAGGUGACCAUUGUUCUUUUUUUUUUCUUUUUUUUUUUGCAUUUUUAAGUGUUUCACAACAAUUUACCUAUUUAGGAUUCCACUGUUUUACUCUACUAAAACCUUUACUUUAUGCUACCAUCGAUCCACUUUCGACACCUUUCGACACCAAUACUUUUUGAUUAGCAUUCAUGAGCCUAGCUUCAUGUAUAGGUGGGCUUUUUCCAUUUGAACUUGAAUGGUCUCUUCAUAAUCAUGGUCUAUUUAUAAACUGCACAGACAAUAACUAGGAGACAUGCUUCUUCUUUGAGGUUAAUUGAGAAGUGAGAAAGUGAAUCUUCUUUUGUUUCGUUACCAAAUAUCAUAUUAGAAAUGUAAUAAUACUUAAGACCGCAAGGAUAUUCAAGAUCAUUAGCUAUAGUACACUUUGAGGUGAGUUUUCCAUGGGUUGUAUAUGUACCUAAGUUAGAUAAAAUGUUGAUUCUGCGUGUUAUUUCACUAGGAAUACGAAUUUUGAACAGUGUGAUAUCAGAUUUGAUGAGCAUUCUCCUAAAGCCUCAUUGCAUCGAAUUGUGAUGGUUCCUCUGCAACUGUUUAACAUGUCUUACCAUUUUUCCGUGUUUUAGGAGUUAAUGCUUCCUGUCUUGGUUAGUUCCAAGCUUGCUUUCAUAGAGAUUGCUUGAGCACAGAUUCUUUGUGGCGGUUCUUGAUUUGAGCUUUGUUAUGGAUGGGAAAGGUUUUUUACAGAUCUGACUGUGAAAUUCACAGCUGCUUGCUGUCGGAUACCAACAGCCUCUGUUAAUGUUACGUAAAUUGGAUCAGCGACCAUAGGACAUGGAGAUGCCGUCGACUCACCUCAGUGUCAAGGAGUUACACACAGUGAGCUGUGGUGAGAUUAGGAAUUUGAUUAAGUGGAGGAAGAAUUUUGGGAGUGUCGUGCUUAUUAUGUUCUGUUCUGGACAGCUCUUACUCUAUGGACAGAUAUUCAAAAACACUGUAUUUUGUGUUAUUUAUAUAUUCCAGACGUCUAUUGAUCCA